GACAGAGGUCCCGAGCGUUAGGCGGAAUCACUGGGCUUAAAGCGUGUGUAGGUGGAUGCCUAAGUACCUUGUGAAAUCCCACGGCUUAACCGUGGAAUUGCUUGGUAUACUGCGGGUCUUGAGCCAGCUAGGGGCCGACCGGAACAAGCGGUGGAGCGGUGAAAUGCGUAGAUAUCGCUUGAACGCCAGUGGUGAAAACGGGUCGCUGGGGCUGUGCUGACGCUGAGACACGAAAGCCAGGGGAGCAAACGGG
rnacentral:rRNA from 1 species